rnacentral:rRNA from 1 species
GAUGAACGCUGGCGGCGUGCCUAAUACAUGCAAGUCGAGCGAACAGACGAGGAGCUUGCUCCUCUGACGUUAGCGGCGGACGGGUGAGUAACACGUGGAUAACCUACCUAUAAGACUUGGAUAACUUCGGGAAACCGGAGCUAAUACCGGAUAAUAUAUUGAACCGCAUGGUUCAAUAGUGAAAGACGGUUUUGCUGUCACUUAUAGAUGGAUCCGCGCCGCAUUAGCUAGUUGGUAAGGUAACGGCUUACCAAGGCGACGAUGCGUAGCCGACCUGAGAGGGUGAUCGGCCACACUGGAACUGAGACACGGUCCAGACUCCUACGGGAGGCAGCAGUAGGGAAGCUUCCGCAAUGGGCGAAAGCCUGACGGAGCAACGCCGCGUGAGUGAUGAAGGUCUUCGGAUCGUAAAACUCUGUUAUUAGGGAAGAACAAAUGUGUAAGUAACUAUGCACGUCUUGACGGUACCUAAUCAGAAAGCCACGGCUAACUACGUG